rnacentral:rRNA from 1 species
AGAGUUUGAUCAUGGCUCAGGACGAACGCUGGCGGCGUGCUUAACACAUGCAAGUCGAGCGCAUUCAGAGGUCGGUCAUCAGAGGUCAGAAGUUAGCUAUUGUCUUUUGGUUUCAAGCUGACAGGGGUUGUGGAGUUUAGCUGUUUAAUUUAAUUUAUUUUUGCGGAUGAAGGUUUGGCAAGAUCUUUUUCUGGCUUCUGACGACCGACUUCUGAGGUGAGCGGCGGACGGGUGAGUAACGCGUGGGUGACCUGCCUGGGAGACCGGGAUAACAGUUCGAAAGGGCUGCUAAUACCGGAUGAUAUCGUUUUAUUAGGGUAAAACGAUCAAAGCGUUUAGCGCUCUCGGAUGGGCCCGCGUCCCAUUAGUUAGUUGGCAGGGUAAUGGCCUACCAAGGCUGCGAUGGGUAGCCGGUCUGAGAGGAUGGUCGGCCACACUGGGACUGAGACACGGCCCAGACUCCUACGGGAGGCAGCAGUGGGGAAUCUUGCGCAAUGGAGGGAACUCUGACGCAGCGACGUCGCGUGAGCGAAGAAGGUCUUCGGAUCGUAAAGCUCUGUCUUUGGGGACGAAGGAAGUGACGGUACCCAAGGAGGAAGCCCCGGCUAACUACGUGCCAGCCGCCGCGGUAAUAC